CAGUCGCCGCGGGAAUACGGAGGGGGCUAGCGUUGUUCGGAAUUACUGGGCGUAAAGCGCACGUAGGCGGCUUUGUAAGUCAGAGGUGAAAGCCCGGGGCUCAACCCCGGAAUUGCCUUUGAGACUGCAUCGCUUGAAUCCAGGAGAGGUGAGUGGAAUUCCGAGUGUAGAGGUGAAAUUCGUAGAUAUUCGGAAGAACACCAGUGGCGAAGGCGGCUCACUGGACUGGUAUUGACGCUGAGGUGCGAAAGCGUGGGGAGCAAACAGGAUUAGAUACCCCGGUAGUCCCUGUCUCUUAUAA
rnacentral:rRNA from 1 species